AGGAGGGUCUAGGGAUUGGCAAGCUGCUGUUAGCAGAAGUCUCUUCUAUAAAGGUGAAAAAUAACUUCUGUUGAUUUCAGACCAAAAGUCCAAAGAGGAGAGGGAGGAGAAAGAGGAGGAUUCCAGCCCUGGGAGCAGCCAAGCGGAGCAGCGUGUCCCUGGCACAGGAGGAGCGGAGGACAUGCCUUCUGCAGGGAUUAAGCAGAGCUGCUGGAAGUGAAGCCCGAAAACUGGCAGAACGGAAGCUUGGAAACUGAGCCCUGGACUAAAGUGGUAAUUUACCUUAUUUGAAAUAAAAACAGCUUAAGUUGAAGCCAACCGGAAAUUCAGCUGACUUGAAGCUGCAAGCAAAAUUAGCAUAACACUCUGCAGGUUGAAACACAGCAGAAUGAGGGGUUGAGCUUUGAUGGCUGGCGGUGGAAAGAAGCUGCUGCUGCUUCUCCAGUCCUAUUAAAAAUUAUCCCCUAAAGCUAAAAUCAUUGCAAGACCAUGCUAGAAGACCAUAAUAGUGCCUCCUGGCCUUAACUGCAACAAGCAAAAAAAGACGACUGCAGCAGAAUCACCAUUAAAAGGAAUAAGGGUAUGACUAGCCCCCAGAUUGGUAGAGCAUGUCCAUUCCACUUCUAUCAAUGUACUGAGUGAAUUCCUACUCCGGUCCACUAACAAGAGAAAUAACACUCAUGAACACUCAUAGCCUGUUGGGAGCAAAGUAGGACAAUGGGAUAAUACUGUACUUACAUAGGAUGGAUGGCAGGAGACCAGCCAGCUGUGAAGAGACUCAAAACCAAAGAAGAAUCAGCUUACAGGAAGAGAGGAAAAGAAGAGCACUUUUCAUCCCUUUCCCUCAGCACAUAAAUGAAUUGUGCAUCUUUGGAGGAACAUUUGCAGCUGAAGACUUGAAGACCUUGAAAGAAGGAUGACAGAGCUGUAGACCAAAGAGGGAUCAAAGAGUUGCAGAAAGCAGAGGUGUGCUGUCAGCACAUGGAGGUGGAAUCAGGAUGGAAGUGGGGAGAGCUUGUUUGGGGUUUUUACCUGGCAAGAGCUUAUUAAAUAGCGAGAACUUACUGGAAAAAUAAAAAUAAAGCAUUCUGACUUUCA